AGUUAACCACUUUGAGCCUUUUUCCUGCCAAUCUACGGCGAAUUAGCCAUCGAGAAAGAUAUCAUUCUCUCCGUCUCGACGAGAAGUAUGAUUUUUGUCUUUUAAUCAUCAUAAAUUUUUUAUUUUCAUCACAUUGUCAAAGUUCGAGGACUAAAAUUAGUACCUCAUAUCACGUUGCUUUACAAACUAUUCACUCACUGAGUGUAUCAUCUAAUCAUCAUAAAAUUGAAAAUCCUAAUAAUUUCAAGGAUCAAGGACCAAUGAUGGACCAACUUUAUGCAACUGAUGCAAUCCCCGAAGAAAUUUUUCUUGAAUAAAAAUCUAUUGCAAUUAGAUAUUUAAUUUCUUUUUUCUUAAAAAUGAACCAGCUGAUGAUUUCGUCAUGAUAAUGUGAUUCAUCAACCUUAAAAAUCAAACUUAAAACGUACUGUAUAGAAUACAAACUUGAAAUUCGUCUUCAGUUAAUGAGUCAUUCAUUACUAAACAAAAAACUUUCUCACAAAAUUCAAACCCACUAGAUCGGUUGACUUGUUUGUUUUAUUGUCGUUUAUUGCUUUGGUCUUGUACCACCUAACUUUGACUACAAACCGUAACUGCAUUUUCAACGCCCUUUCCGCAAGUUUGAAAACCAUCUAGAAAAGAAGUGGACCCAAUGCUGACGUGGCCUCAUCUCCUUAACCCAAUUCGUUGACAAACAUUUCCAAUUUCAAAAUAAUUUCUUAAAUCCCAUCACAUCACAUAAGGUGCCACAUACCCAUAAAUCAUGGGAGCGUUGAUAGAUUGGACAGCUCUGAUUUGAGUUUUCAGGGCACGUGGACGUACCAGAUCAAAAGAGACUACAUCAGAAAUCGUACAGACGAUCUGGGAGAUAUGCAGUGAAAUCUUUAGAUGGGCUGUUCUGUCAUCCUCCUUCCCUUGGUCUUCUCAGGUACGUAGACGUCGUCGUACUGGUGUACGUUUGAAUAGGGCUGGGCACGGGCCAGCCCAAAUUUGGAGGAAUCGGCUCCUACCCGUUUUAAAAUGUAAUGGGUCAGGUUGGGCUGGGUAGAGAGCUUUAGGCCAUCUCCAACCGAGGGCUGACCAGAGGGCUCGUUUGAGCCAUCUGGCCCUCCAAUAUUCCCCAAGAUAUUAAUAUUUUAAUGAACAGUACAGGGCCAUAUUUGCCUCCAUCUCCAACCGAGGGCCAGAGGGCCAAAGGGCUCGUUUUAGCCCUGUCACAAAAAA
rnacentral:lncRNA from 1 species